UACGUAUGGGGCAAGCGUUGUCCGGAAUCAUUGGGCGUAAAGAGCGUGUAGGCGGUUCGGUAAGUCCGCUGUAAAAGUCCAGGGCUCAACCCUGGAAAGCCGGUGGAAACUGUCGAACUAGAGUCCGGAAGAGGCGAGUGGAAUUCCUGGUGUAGCGGUGAAAUGCGCAGAUAUCAGGAGGAACACCAAUGGCGAAGGCAGCUCGCUGGGACGGUACUGACACUGAGACGCGAAAGCGUGGGGAGCAAACAGG
rnacentral:rRNA from 1 species